rnacentral:rRNA from 1 species
GAGAGAGACAUGCGCGCAUAUCAAUAAGCGGAGGAAAAGAAACUAACAAGGAUUCCCUUAGUAACGGCGAGUGAAGCGGGAAGAGCUCAAAUUUGAAAUCUUCAAGGUUUUACCUUGACGAAUUGUAGUUUAAAGAAGUGUUUUCUGCUGAAGUUUUGGUAAAAGUUCUUUGGAAUAGGACAUCAUAGAGGGUGAGAAUCCCGUAUUUGACCAUUAUUUUCAGCUUUGUGAUACACUUUCAAAGAGUCGGAUUGUUUGGGAAUGCAGUCCAAAAUGGGUGGUAAAUUUCAUCUAAAGCUAAAUAUUGGCGAGAGACCGAUAGCGAACAAGUACCGUGAGGGAAAGAUGAAAAGAACUUUGAAAAGAGAGUUAAACAGUACGUGAAAUUGUCAAAAGGGAAGCGUUUGACACCAGUGUUGUUUUCUCGAAAAUCAAUUAAAAAUGGCUCGAUUUUGUAUUGUUGAGACCUUAAAAGCUCACUGUACAUUUUUCGUGUCUUUUUUAAUGCACUUUUCGUUUAACAAGUCAACAUCAGUUUCUUUUGUUGUAAAAGGGUCAUUGGAAGGUGGCUUUCUUUUCGGAGAAAGUGUUUAUAGCCUUUGGCCUCUGCAAUCGGAAGAGACUGAGGUCUGCAGCGUAGACUCUUCGGGGUUAGAUACAUUUGUGCUAAGUUAUAGCUUUUUAUAGACGAACUUGUUGACUAUAAUUAGUCUUGUAGCUUACUCGCUUAUGCUAUUUUACCUACGCUUAGGAUGUUGAAGAUGUAGCACAUCAU